GUCCCUGUAGCACAAUGGAUAGCGUGUUGGACUUCUAAUCCAAAGGUCGUGGGAUUUGAAUCCCACUUGGGAUG